AAACUUAGAAUAGGACGUCACCGCUCUGUAAAUUUACAUAGACAUUACAUUUCGUUCUCUUCAUUUUAGACAUAACGCUAAGCUGACUUUUUUUAUAGCACACUGAUCGAUAUCGCGGUAAAAUAAUCGUUUUUUUUAAACUAGCGAGGCAGUGAAAUCUUUGCUUUGUGCUAAAGUCAACAGUGACAGAGUUUGAGCUCAAAUAAAUGCAGUGAUGUCUCCAGCCCUUUGCAGAAGGCUGAAAGGCGAGGUUCCACAAUGGGCUCCGAUAGGCUAUUGCCAAUAAGCAUCGACAGUAUUGCACAGGCUCUCGGCCCCCACUGUCUCUCUCUAAUAGGGCUGUGCUGGGGGGAGUUGGGGUCCACGGCCAUGGCAAGAUCAGGGUGCCUCCAGAGAGAAGGCAUACGGAAGAGAGGAGGCAUCAGAGUACGGAAGGAUAACGAGGAGAGGAGGCUACACUGGUUCGGACCUAAGAAGUAGAUGGAUCUGACUGCCACACACAAUGUCCUUUCAGUGUUGGGCUUUGCUGUUACCGCCCCAUGGCACUCGCCAGAUAAGACGGCCUUCCUUGACUCAUGCAUGAAAGGGGACCAAUGGGAUGGAUGGAGUUUUGCCUUCGACCUUCACCCUUCAUCACCUCAGAUCAUAGAGGCACUGUGUUCUCUGCUUGUCUACCUGGCUAUGUCUGUAUCCGACCUUGUCUGCAUCUAUGAAAUAUCAAAGUGUGUCAGACGGCACUGAAUAGGGACAAAAGAAAGGCACCGUUAAUGAUUAACUGUUCUAAAAGCUUUGGCUUGUAUUCCCAUGGUGCCCAGUCUAUCUGCUGGCCAUGUCACAUGCUCACAGCCUUUUUCCAGCAGAUUGGAGGAAAGCUAGAGAGCAAACACAGGUGCUUUGGACUGGAGUCGCCGACGCUGUCAGGGACAACCACAAACAAGAGCAGCAAUGCCUGGCUAAAUGAGAACCCAUCCCCUUACUCGGUGCCUGGCUGGCUUAGCUAAGUCACUGACUGUCGUGCCUGGAGAUCCUCACCAUAGACCAAGUCCAAUGUCCCUCGAGAGCUCAACAACAUUUCACACUUUCCAGAGAAACAAACAAAUAAAACAAGAGGAUUGGAGUCCACUUGUUUGAAGUGAAUGCUAUUGCUGCAGGCUCAAGUAUAAUGGGAGAGAAAACCAGCUCUCACUUUCUAAAACAAACCAAAGUUGAGGCAAGGAGAAAUGCAAGGUGCUGGAAGAGACACCAAUCCUCGGAAAAUUGAAUGACAUAUCCGCACACUUUGAUGUUUCUUUCGUUGUAAUAUUAUUAAUAGUUCUGAGUUUGGAGUUGUUUUAUAAGGUUCUAUAAAUACAGUCUGGGUACUAACCAUUUCUUCCUCAAUGUCGUCUGUUCCUUUGUAAAAUGACUGAGUGCAUUUUGUAGCAUAACGUUUGAUUACACAAUCAGAUGAUAUGAUGACGUUAUCAGAACAUGACUUUCCGGCAAUGAGAUAAAUGAACAGCAUGAUAACGUGAACAAAAGCCUGUCUCUGAUUGGUCUGCCUAUGAAUAGAAAAAAGGCACCAUGAAAAGUACUCACAAUAAAGGCAAUUCAUU